rnacentral:rRNA from 1 species
GACCAGACUCCUACGGGAGGCAGCAGUGAGGAAUAUUGGUCAAUGGGCGGAAGCCUGAACCAGCCAAGUCGCGUGAGGGAUUAAGGCCCUGCGGGUCGUAAACCUCUUUUGCCGGGGAGCAGAGGUCCGGACGUGUCCGGGCCGGGAGAGUACCCGGAGAAAAAGCAUCGGCUAACUCCGUGCCAGCAGCCGCGGUAAUACGGAGGAUGCGAGCGUUAUCCGGAUUUAUUGGGUUUAAAGGGUGCGCAGGCGGAAGCUCAAGUCAGCGGAAAACUUGCGGGGCUCACCCUCGCCGAGCCGUUGAAACUGCUCUUCUAGAGUGGGCGAGAAGUAUGCGGAAUGCGUGGUGUAGCGGUGAAAUGCAUAGAUAUCACGCAGAACUCCGAUUGCGAAGGCAGCAUACCGGCGCCCAACUGACGCUCAUGCACGAAAGCGUGGGUAUCGAACAGGAUUAGAUCCCCGCGUA